AGACCCAAGGUCUCCUCCCAUUUCAAUAGUCUGAUAUAACUGCCCUCCACAGACCAUCUCCCUCAGUCACGACGACCACUCCCAGUCUGUGCUUCUUUUACAGAAUUUUAGAUCCGUAACACAAUGAGAGUUCGAGAAUGUAUGUUCCUCCUGGCUCUCAUCUCAGUUGUUCAUGGGCAGUCACUCACCUCCUCUGAGUCAGUGGUGAAGAGACCUAGUGAGUUAGUAACACUGUCCUGUACUGUGUCUGGAUUCUCCAUGGGUAGCUACUGGAUGCACUGGAUCCGUCAGAAACCAGGGAAAGGACUUGAGUGGAUUGGAUUCAUUGACACUGGAACCACAGCUUAUUAUGCCCAGUCUCUCCAGGGCCAGUUCACCAUCACCAAAUACACCUCCAAAAACCAGCUGUACUUAGAGGUGAAAAGCCUGAAGACUGAAGACUCUGCUGUUUAUUAUUGUGCCAGAGACACAGUGACACAGGAGGCUGCAGCACCGUACAAAAACUGAUCAACACUGAUCACAGUAUGAGAGGCAAUGAAGCGCAUCUGUUGUUCAGACACACCCUCUAUGAGAGAGUAGAAGGACUCAAAAGUAAUGGAAAAAACACUGAUAUCAUUAUUAUCCCCAUAAAAUUAUUCACACACAUUACAAAAGUGAAAAGCACAUUAUUUACAUAAACUCAAAGUCAACUUUACAGAAUUUAGUUUAUAUUAGCAAUUACAUUUUGAAUAUUUGUUUCGGACAGAAUUCAAUUAAUGUGAUCAGCAAACAGAAAUAUACUGAAACUAAAAACAGUAAUGGAUCAAUUAUAGGUCCUCAUAGGAACUCCCCAUAGAUUCACAAGAGGGUUUAGCAGUAAGAUAUAUAUCGAAUUCAAUACAACUUGUAUUGUUCCACAUAGGGAAAUGGUCUUGUUUUGUGUUGUUCAGCACUAUAUAAAAUAUCAAACAUACAGUAUCUAGUCUGAACAUCCUGUAUGUAAAAUCUGAAAUUCAUCGAGCAGAAUAAUGGACAGGGAGGGGAGAUAAUGAAGAAAGGUAUUUAUGUUUUUAAAUUGAAUAAAUAUCUGUUUUCGACUUUGGCAUUAUGGGGUACUGUAUAUACUGUAGAUUGUUGAGGGGAAAAAAUAAUUGUAUAAUUUUUAGAAUAAGGCUGUAACGUAACAAAUUGUGGAAAAAGUAAACAUGCAA